rnacentral:tRNA from 1 species
GGAGAUGUGGCUCAGACGGUAGAGAAUUUGCCUAGCACGCACAAAGCUCUGGGUUCAGUCCCCAGCACUGCCU